rnacentral:rRNA from 1 species
ACCUGCGGAAGGAUCAUUCAUAAUAAGUGUUUUAUGGCACUUUUUAAAUCCAUAUCCACCUUGUGUGCAAUGUCAGUCGAUCUUCUUCAUGGAGAUCGACCAAACAUCAACCUUUAUUUUUUAACUCUUUGUCUGAAAAAUAUUAUGAAUAAACAAUUCAAAAUACAACUUUCAACAACGGAUCUCUUGGCUCUCGCAUCGAUGAAGAACGCAGCGAAAUGCGAUACGUAAUGUGAAUUGCAGAAUUCAGUGAAUCAUCGAAUCUUUGAACGCAUAUUGCGCUCUUUGGUAUUCCGAAGAGCAUGCUUGUUUGAGUAUCAGUAAACACCUCAAAGCUUUUGGAUUUUUUAAUCGAAAAGCUUUGGACUUGAGCAAUCCCAACACCAAUCUUUUUGAGAUCGGUGGCGGGUUGCUUGAAAUGCAGGUGCAGCUGGACAUUCUCCUGAGCUAAAAGCAUAUUCAUUUAGUCCCGUCAAACGGAUUAUUACUUUUGCUGCAGCUAACAUAAAGGGAGUUUGACCGUAUUGGCUGACUGAUGCAGGAU